CUUGGCAGUGCUGUGGUGAGGAGGAAGGAGCCAGCUGGGUGUGAGGAGCUACCCAUAAGACUUCACAAAGAAGCUGCAGGCUCUAAUAGGCAACUUCUGCUUCUUCAAGCUCAUCUUCAGUUGCCUUCCCUGCUGCUGGUGGAAAGAGGAGGUGAAUGGCUGGACACAGCAACCAUCAGUGACAGAGGAUUUAGCAGAAGACCUCAGACAGCCAACAAACACCUGGUGAAGAAAGCAAUAGAAAAACAGAGCUUUAGCCCCAAACUCUAGGUUUGGCCUGAUGGCACUUCACUGGGGCUCAUUGAUGUUGGUGAUGACAAGAUCUGGUCCUUGCCUAUGAAGUAGCUGUAUCCUCAUCCUGUGCUGACUGAAGGACCCAGCAAGCUGCUCCUGGAUGCAGUGGAAGGUUGGAUUGCUUCAGCAGCCCUGAACUGCCUCAGCUCCCCAGCAUGGUGAUGCUUGGAAGGAAAUCCUACAACCUUGAGCACACACCCAGCUUCUCCCAGUCACGCUGUCCUGCAUAAAGGGCUCCAGUUUGAAUGAAUCAGUCCCAAUCUGCAGGAGGAUUCUUGACAUUUCAGUUCACAGAAGUUUCUGAUUGUCUUUGGUGCUGGAAUAUAGAACAUUUUCCGAGUCUUAAAUGCAAUAUGAUUGGAAAACACUUUUCCACUCAGCCCUGGUAAAACCUCCAAGGAAGGGGGUGAAGACACAGGCUCCCUGCCAGAGAACAUGAGCUUUGCUAGACCAGCAUCUCCAUAUUCUUUCUCUUAGAAAAUGCUUUUUCCUCCACUCCAAAUAGUGGAGGGCUGGAGGGAAGAGCAGGAGACACAAUGACACUGUUCCAUGCUGGCUGGAAACCCUGUGGUGCCUCUGGGGCACAGAAGGUCUGAAUUUAAAUCUUCCUCUGGUUUGGAUCUGCUUCAAACAAAUACCUGAAAGCACUGCCCU